UUUUUGGAUGAAUUAUUUUUUAGUUCUUCUGGGUAUUUCUUUAUAUUUGUCCAGGUCAAUGAUUUGUUUGUGUGUUUCGUUUCAGAACACGUUGCUCUACAUUUUUUGGAAUUUGGUUUUUGUAAUUUUGGGUGUUUUGUUUAUAUUAUUAAAUCUAUUGUUUGGUUGUAUGGUUGGCUUCUGUGUUUUGUUUCAGGUCACUUUGCUCUUCGAUUUUUUUGAGCUUCUGUGAACAAGCUUGGAAGCCGUUUAUGCUCAAGAUUACUUAUACAGAAGCAGUGGAUCUAUUAAUUGAUGUUGUGAAAAAAGGUAAGAAGUUUGAGAACCAUAUAGAGUGGGGGAUUGAUUUGGCAUCUGAGCACGAAAGGUAGUCCCUUAGAAUUAUUCUACUGGUUUGUCUUAUUAUGGUUACUGAUUAAAUAGAGUUUAUCGAUUCGUUGAUCUGAUUUUGUGCAAAUACCUGAUGGAGGUAAUGAGGUAUUACUUCAAAAGCCUGUUAUUGUUUACAACUAUCCUAAUACAUGAGGCUCAACGAUGAUUUAAGACAGUGGUUGCAAUGGAUGUUUUGGUACCAAAGGUGGGAGAGUUGGCUGCGAGGAACCAAGUGGAAGAGCGUUACGAUGUUAUUAUGAGAAGGUAUUAUUCCGUUUUUGUCUGUUUUAGUUACUGUAUCUGCCAUUGUUGUUGUUCUUAUUAUUC